AAUAGGAUCAUGAAACUACGGCACUGUUGGUGAAAAAACAUAAUGGUCAUGAGCUGACUCCAUUGUUAGUUGCUAUUCUUGGUAGACAUGAUUUAUUUUGCCAGAGUCAGGCUUGUUUGUGUAUAACUCGUAUAAUUGCUUUCUCUCCUGACCCAAUGGAGGGAGAUCAACUCACACAGCUUAUCAGUUGGAUCACAUCACAACUAAAGGCAGGCAAUGAGUAUUUGGAGUGCAUUACUAAAGCUCUAAUGUCAUUCCUAAGAAGACAAGCGUACCGGGUGCCAUUUUUUGAAGCUCAUGGCAUU